rnacentral:lncRNA from 1 species
UUGAGACUAAAGAAUGCUAUGAAUAAUCGAAGUAUGUGGCGUAAAUGCAAGAUAAACCUGAAGUAUGUGGGAAUAUGUUAAGACCCGGAACUACCAUCGAGCCCGUGACAACCGCUGCGACGUCCCGAUAGGCAUUCAUUACCCGGAAUGUCAAUCAAAACCUUGCAAGGCUUAACAUCGGUUUUUCUCGCUUCCUCUGUGAGUAUUAGUCACUAAAAUUAUGUUUUGAGAUAUUAUAAACUAAUUCCAAAUCAAAACAAUAGAAAAAUAAUUUUUUUCUCACAGAGGUAUUUUGGUCAUUUUUUCUCAAAAAUCUCAAAAUCCGCUAAAAAUGUAGCAUGUGGGUGCAAAACACAUAUUUCAUAAUCAAAAAUAAAUUUGGAUGUCUAAAACAUUCGUUUAAAAUGAAAUUAUGAUUAUUAGAAUAAAAUAAAAAUAUUGAAUAAAAUACUCAAGUUUCUCAUAAAACAAUAUUUUUAAAACAUUGCAUAAAUAAUUUUUAUAACGUAAAAGCAAAAUAAAAUCAAAUAUAUUGUAAUAUAGUAAGCUAGAGUAUUUAUUUUAAUUUACAGUAACAAGUGAGCCCUUGAAUAACCAAAAGUAAGAAAGAUUGUAAACCUAAAGUUUGGAAGAUGCAAAUCCAAUGGUGGUCCUCGAUG